ACACUUGGAAAGAAAAAAAAUUGCCACCAAAACAUCUGAGAUGGCUUUGUAUUGCUUCUCAGAAUCGUAAAUUGGAGUCUCUUUCUCCACCUCUCUCUCUCUCUUUCUCUCUUGAACUCAUUGUCUCUUCGUCUCCAUCUCUCCUCUGUCGUGUUUGCCGGUCAGUUUCUUCAUGGCUUCCACCAGACAAACCUCCAAUCUUCGUCGUUCACGGCCAGCCGAGUUAUAUCUCCUGGGUAUACCCAGUCGUAAUCUCUCUCUUUGCCAUUGUCUCCGUUUCCUUUUCGUACUUCAUGUUCGGCUCCCUAAAUCCCUCUUUGAUUCGAGCCCUUCUCUGUUUGUCUCCAAUGGAGAAGAACAAUGCCAAGAACGGUUCAAAGUCUUCUCCUUUCGAUUUCAACAAGAGUAGAGCUGAUGGUUUUGACGAAACUUGUAAGAACAAGAAAAUCUGGAAAGAAAAAAACGCAAGCUCAAUCCCAACACCACUGCUUACGCUCAGCUUAACAUUACAGAAUCCUCAAAACAAAAACAAAAAUCUUAUUUUGUUGUGUAAAAUUUGAAAAAUUGAUCUUUUUUGAAGGUCCUUGGAACAGGAAUGGAUACACAAGAUACUUUGUCUUCUGUAUUACUCUUCUUUGAUAAACAAUGAUUCAUCUUUAAUGGAUAGGGCUUGCAGGUGGACUUCCAAGUUUAUCCGAGUCAUGUGAUGGGAUCUUCAGUACCUGGUCCCAUUGUUCUCCUUGUGGACUGUCCAACUGAGUCGCACGUUGCACAAUUGUUAUCAGCUGAGUCUUUGCUGGACACCAAAGAAGAAUAUGGAGUUUCCAAUUCUGAAAGCAUGUUCAAGAAUCGCAGAUGAUGAAGAAGAACUUGCUAAGUACCCACUCACCACUGAAUCCACAAUGAAGAUGACUGGGAUACUGGUACUUGUUCAGAUGAUGAAGAUGAGGAGCAACUCUUUUCUGAGGAAUUAUUGUGUGCUCCAAACGAAACCAUAACCAAAUAUAAGAGCAUCCCCAUUGGGGUAUGCUAAUAAAGGUUCACACGCAUUUCGAUAAAAAAAAUAAUAUAUUAAUGUUUGCUUUGUGAACCCGCGCCGCGCAGGAUCAGUUGGACGAACCCGUAUCAUCACUAUUUGCGGGCCCCACUGACGCGUGGCGGCUCGCGAUUGGUCCGUUAAUUAAUUUUUUUUUUUUUUUUUUUUUUGGAAAAUCAAACGAAAAAAAUUAAAAACUAUUAUAAUUGCAUUGGAAAUCGAGAAUGGACAAACUUGCUGAUGGAGAUGCUCUAAGUGUAGUUUUUUAGUAACAUUGUUUGUUAGUUUUGGGUUUUAUUCUAUUCUUAUUCUGGUGCAAACGUUCAUAAAACAUAUUAUUUCUUAUGUCCCAUUUGUAAAAUAAUAUCUUACAUGAUCGAGUUU